rnacentral:rRNA from 1 species
UCAGAGAAGGUGAAAAUCCUGUCUGUGCUUAGAAAGGCUUUUCACUGUUUUGCCGGUCAAAGAGUCGGGUUGUUUGGGAUUGCAACUCAAAAUAGGUGGUAAACUGCAUCUAAAACUAAAUAUCAGCAGAAAACCAAUAGCGAACAAGUACCGUGAGGGAAAGGUGAAAAGAACUUUGAAAAGAGAGUUAAAAGUACGUGAAAUCGUUGAAAGGGAAAUGGUUGGGGCAGUAGCGGCGCCUUGCGGGUUUUCGAGCCCCUUUGUGCCACCAGCAUGAUUGGCGUGAGAGUCUUUGUUUGGGGGGGGGUGCUUUCCGGCUGCGCGUAGGCUUUAAUUCUCUUGUGCGAGUCAGGUUUCAAUUUGCCUUGGCGGAGGGCCCCAGUAGUAAGUGAUUGCUGCUGGGGUGCUCUUCCAAAAGAAUGAUGCUGGUUUUACUUCCCAACCAACCCGUCUUGAAACACGGACCAAGGAGUCUAAUGCGCAUGCGAGUGUUUGAAUGUAAAAAUUC